UCAACCCUCAAGCGCAGCUUGGUAUUGAGCCCAUGUCAGCGAUGGCAGGCUCCAAAGGCAGUGGCGGCGCCGCUGGGCCCUGAACGUAGUAAUAUCUCUCGUUACAGGCGCUCGACGUGCUCCCGCCAAAACCCCAACUUUCU
rnacentral:rRNA from 1 species